UGCCAGCCGCCGCGGUAAUACGGAGGGGGCUAGCGUUGUUCGGAAUUACUGGGCGUAAAGCGCACGUAGGCGGACUAUUAAGUCAGGGGUGAAAUCCCGGGGCUUAACCCCGGAACUGCCUCCAAAACUAUCAGUCUAGAGUUCGAGGGAGGUGAGUGGAACUCCGAGUGUAGAGGUGAAAUUCGUAGAUAUUCGGAGGAACACCAGUGGCGAAGGCGGCUCACUGGCCCAAUACUGACGCUGAGGUGCGAAAGCGUGGGGAGCAAACAGGAUUAGAUA
rnacentral:rRNA from 1 species